rnacentral:rRNA from 1 species
GUGCACCAGGCGCGAACCUUCGCAAUGCGGGAAACCGCGACGAGGGACUCCCAGUGCCUACGCUCAGCGUAGGCUGUUCCCGAGCCUAGAAAGCUCGGGGAGUAAGGGCUGGGUAAGACGGGUGCCAGCCGCCGCGGUAAUACCCGCAGCCCGAGUGGUGGCCACUAUUAUUGGGCCUAAAGCGUCCGUAGCCGGCCCGGUAAAAUGCCUGGGUAAAUCGUGAGGCCUAACCUCACGAAUUCCGGGUAGACUGCCGGGCUAGGGACCGGAGGAGGGAGAGGGGUACUCCAGGGGUAGGGUGAAAUCCUGUAAUCCCUGGAGGACCACCGGUGGCGAAGGCGGCUCUCCUAGGACGGGUCCGACGGUGAGGGACGAAAGCCAGGGGAGCGAACCGGAUUAGAUA